AGGAAUGUGGCUCAGUGGUAGAGUGCUUGCCUAGCAUGCAUGAGCCCUGGGUUCCAUUCCUC
rnacentral:tRNA from 1 species